AUUGAACGCUGGCGGCAGGCCUAACACAUGCAAGUCGAGCGAGCGGCGGACGGGUGAGUAAUGUCUGGGAAACUGCCCGAUGGAGGGGGAUAACUACUGGAAACGGUAGCUAAUACCGCAUACUAUCAGAUGUGCCAAUAUGGGAUUAGACAGUAGGUGGGGUAACGGCUCACCUAGGCGACGAUCCCUAGCUGUUCUGAGAGGAUGACCAGCCAAACUGGGACUGGAACACGGCCCAGAGUCCUACGUGAGGCAGCAGUGGGGAAUAUUGCACAAUGGGCGAAAGCCUGAUGCAGCCAUGCCGCGUGUAUGAAGAAGGCCUUCGGGUUGUAAAGCACUUUCAGCAGGGAGGCGUUACCCGCAGAAGAAGCACCGGCUAACUCCGUGCCAGCAGCCGCGGUAAUAC
rnacentral:rRNA from 1 species